rnacentral:rRNA from 1 species
CCUACGGGUGGCAGCAGUGGGGAAUAUUGGGCAAUGGACGCAAGUCUGACCCAGCAACGCCGCGUGAAGGAAGAAGGCUUUCGGGUUGUAAACUUCUUUUAAGGGGGAAGAGCAGAAGACGGUACCCCUUGAAUAAGCCACGGCUAACUACGUGCCAGCAGCCGCGGUAAUACGUAGGUGGCAAGCGUUGUCCGGAUUUACUGGGGGUAAAGGGCGUGCAGCCGGAGAGACAAGUCAGAUGUGAAAUCCACGGGCUCAACCCGUGAACUGCAUUUGAAACUGUUUCCCUUGAGUGUCGGAGAGGUAAUUGGAAUUCCCAGUGUAGCGGUGAAAUUGGUAGAUAUUAGGAAGAACCACCGUGGCGAAGGCCGAUUACUGGACGAUAACUGACGGUGAGGCGCGAAAGCGGUGGGAGCAAACAGGAUUAGAUACCCGAGUAGUC